rnacentral:rRNA from 1 species
CGUGUAGGCGGUAAUGUAAGUCAGACGUGAAAUCCUUUGGCUCAACUGAAGAACUGCGUCUGAAACUGCAUGACUAGAGUGCAGAAGAGGGAAACGGAAUUCCUGGUGUAGAGGUGAAAUUCGUAGAUAUCAGGAGGAACACCGGUGGCGAAGGCGGUUUCCUGGUCUGACACUGACGCUGAGGCGCGAAAGCGUGGGGAGCAAACAGGAUUAGAUACCCUGGUAGUCCACGCCGUAAACGGUGGGUACUGGGUGUGGGAGGUGUAAUGCCUUCUGUGCCGAAGCUAACGCGUUAAGUACCCCGCCUGGGGAGUACGGUCGCAAGAUUAAA